rnacentral:rRNA from 1 species
UUAAUUGAUUAUGACGUACUUGUACUGAUUGAGAUUUUAACACGAAGUGAGUGGCGAACGGGUGAGUAACACGUGGGUAACCUGCCCAGAAGUAGGGGAUAACACCUGGAAACAGAUGCUAAUACCGUAUAACAGAGAAAACCGCAUGGUUUUCUUUUAAAAGAUGGCUCUGCUAUCACUUCUGGAUGGACCCGCGGCGUAUUAGCUAGUUGGUGAGGUAAAGGCUCACCAAGGCAGUGAUACGUAGCCGACCUGAGAGGGUAAUCGGCCACAUUGGGACUGAGACACGGCCCAGACUCCUACGGGAGGCAGCAGUAGGGAAUCUUCCACAAUGGACGCAAGUCUGAUGGAGCAACGCCGCGUGAGUGAAGAAGGGUUUCGGCUCGUAAAGCUCUGUUGUUAAAGAAGAACGUGGGUAAGAGUAACUGUUUACCCAGUGACGGUAUUUAACCAGAAAGCCACGGCUAACUACGUGCCAGCAGCCGCGGUAAUACGUAGGUGGCAAGCGUUAUCCGGAUUUAUUGGGCGUAAAGCGAGCGCAGGCGGUCUUUUAAGUCUAAUGUGAAAGCCUUCGGCUCAACCGAAGAAGUGCAUUGGAAACUGGGAGACUUGAGUGCAGAAGAGGACAGUGGAACUCCAUGUGUAGCGGUGAAAUGCGUAGAUAUAUGGAAGAACACCAGUGGCGAAGGCGGCUGUCUGGUCUGCAACUGACGCUGAGUCUCGAAAGCAUGGGUAGCGAACAGGAUUAGAUACCCUGGUAGUCCAUGCCGUAAACGAUGAUUACUAAGUGUUGGAGGGUUUCCGCCCUUCAGUGCUGCAGCUAACGCAUUAAGUAAUCCGCCUGGGGAGUACGACCGCAAGGUUGAAACUCAAAAGAAUUGACGGGGGCCCGCACAAGCGGUGGAGCAUGUGGUUUAAUUCGAAGCUACGCGAAGAACCUUACCAGGUCUUGACAUCUUCUGACAGUCUAAGAGAUUAGAGGUUCCCUUCGGGGACAGAAUGACAGGUGGUGCAUGGUUGUCGUCAGCUCGUGUCGUGAGAUGUUGGGUUAAGUCCCGCAACGAGCGCAACCCUUAUUACUAGUUGCCAGCAUUAAGUUGGGCACUCUAGUGAGACUGCCGGUGACAAACCGGAGGAAGGUGGGGACGACGUCAAAUCAUCAUGCCCCUUAUGACCUGGGCUACACACGUGCUACAAUGGAUGGUACAACGAGUCGCGAGACCGCGAGGUUAAGCUAAUCUCUUAAAACCAUUCUCAGUUCGGACUGUAGGCUGCAACUCGCCUACACGAAGUCGGAAUCGCUAGUAAUCGCGGAUCAGCAUGCCGCGGUGAAUACGUUCCCGGGCCUUGUACACACCGCCCGUCACACCAUGAGAGUUUGUAACACCCAAAGCCGGUGGGGUGCC